UACGGAGGGUGCGAGCGUUGUCCGGAAUCACUGGGCGUAAAGGGCGCGUAGGUGGCUCGUGAAGCGUGCGGUGAAAGUCCGAGGCUCAACCUCGGAUCGGCCGUGCGGACUCGCGGGCUCGAGCGUUGUAGAGGCGGGUGGAAUUCCGGGUGUAGCGGUGGAAUGCGUAGAGAUCCGGAAGAACACCGGUGGCGAAGGCGGCCCGCUGGGCAACUGCUGACACUGGAUGCGCGACAGCGUGGGGAGCAAACAGG
rnacentral:rRNA from 1 species